UACGUAGGGCGCGAGCGUUGUCCGGAAUUAUUGGGCGUAAAGAGCUCGUAGGCGGUCUGUCGCGUCGGCUGUGAAAACCCGAGGCUCAACCUCGGGCCUGCAGUCGAUACGGGCAAACUAGAGUACUGCAGGGGAGACUGGAAUUCCUGGUGUAGCGGUGAAAUGCGCAGAUAUCAGGAGGAACACCGGUGGCGAAGGCGGGUCUCUGGGCAACAACUGACGCUGAGGAGCGAAAGCGUGGGGAGCGAACAGG
rnacentral:rRNA from 1 species